rnacentral:miRNA from 1 species
AUGAACCAGUGUCUGAAC